CGUCUAACCCGGGGUAAGGGGGACCAGCCACCUAAACAGCGGUUUUAGAACUAUGGUGUCAGGAAUACAAAUUUGUGUUCCUGAUGCUCUCUCGAUACCUACACUUCCACCAAACUGACAACAUGAAUCUACUUAGUCACACCUUGUUACCCAGAUACCUCAAUUUCUGUUGAGGCAUAACAACACAUUAGCAUUAUAUACCAGUAGAGUGGACCUCCCAAAGUCCACGGAUACACCAUUUAGGUACAGACUUAAU